UUAAUUGAAGCCAAAAAGAGGCUUAUCACUGUUAAUGAUAGAACUGAGUCACAUACUCCAAUUAAA
rnacentral:tRNA from 1 species